UGCGUAGGCGGAUUGUUAAGUCAGUGGUGAAAGUCUGCGGCUCAACCGUAGAAGUGCCAUUGAUACUGGCAGUCUUGAGUACAGUAGAGGUAGGCGGAAUUUAUGGUGUAGCGGUGAAAUGCAUAGAUACCAUAAAGAACACCUAUAGCGAAGGCAGCUUACUAUACUGUAACUGAUGCUGAGGCACGAAAGCGUGGGGAGCGAACAGGAUUAGAUACCCUGGUAGUCC
rnacentral:rRNA from 1 species